rnacentral:pre_miRNA from 1 species
AUGUGACAUAUUUUACUACAACGAAUCUGGAUAUGACAGAGGUAUGUUUAAAUUCGUAGUAUUAGGAUGUGUCACAU